rnacentral:rRNA from 1 species
UACGCCCGAUCUCGUCCGAUCUCGGAGGCUAAGCAGGGUCGGGCCUGGUUAGUACCUGGAUGGGAGACCGCCUGGGAAUACCAGGUGCUGUAGGC